GACGAACGCUGGCGGCGUGCUUAACACAUGCCAGUCGAACGGAAAGGCCCUGCUUUUGUGGGGUGCUCGAGUGGCGAACGGGUGAGUAACACGUGAGUAACCUGCCCUUGCCUUUGGGAUAACUUCAGGAAACUGGGGCUAAUACCGGAUAUGAGCUCCUGCUGCAUGGUGGGGGUUGGAAAGUUUCGGCGGUUGGGGAUGGACUCGCGGCUUAUCAGCUUGUUGGUGGGGUAGUGGCUUACCAAGGCUUUGACGGGUAGCCGGCCUGAGAGGGUGACCGGCCACAUUGGGACUGAGAUACGGCCCAGACUCCUACGGGAGGCAGCAGUGGGGAAUAUAGCACAAUGGGCGGAAGCCUGAUGCAGCAACGCCGCGUGCGGGAUGACGGCCUUCGGGUUGUAAACCGCUUUCGCCUGUGACGAAGCGUGAGUGACGGUAAUGGGUAAAGAAGCACCGGCUAACUACGUG
rnacentral:rRNA from 1 species